rnacentral:rRNA from 1 species
UAACGAAUCUUCCGCAAUGGGCGAAAGCCUGACGGAGCAAUGCCGCGUGUGGGAUGAAGCGGCUACGCCGUGUAAACCACUGUCAGGGGACAGAAACAAUGACCGCCCCCAAAGGAAGAGCCGGCUAACCCUGUGCCAGCAGCCGCGGUAAUACAGGGGGCUCGAGCGUUAGUCGGAAUCACUGGGCUUAAAGGGUGCGUAGGCGGCCCGCCAAGUGCUUUGUGAAAUCCCCGAGCUCAACUCGGGAACAGCAGGGCAAACUGGCGGGCUUGAAGCAGGUAGGGGCUGGAAGAACAGUAGGUGGAGCGGUGAAAUGCGUAGAUAUCAACUGGAAUGCCGAUGGGGAAGCCGUCCAGCUGGGCCUGUCUUGACGCUGAGGCACGAAAGCGUGGGGAGCAAACAGGAUUAGAUACCCCCGUAGUCC